UGAUGAAUAAUUAUUUCUGUUUGGUAAUACGGUCCAGGGCUCUCACACCAUAAAUUAACUUUAGGGUACACAAGUCCUUAACUACCUCAACCGAUGUAGCAUGUCACAGCAUGCAACACUUACUCACACAAGCUCCAUGAUAUAAGACCUGGCAGCCUUGUUCUCCCCAUAUUAUUUUGCCAUAACAAACCAUGGAAGACUAGAGAUAGUCAAAAAUAAUAAAAAAAAUAAGUAAGGAAAAUAUGGCUAAGUUCAGAACCUUCUCUAUUGGAAUAAGAGUUAUCGGGAACAGAUGCUGACUGCGUAGGUUGUAUAGGCUGAGUCUCUGAAGAACAAAUGCUUCUAUCACACAUCAACAUCGAGACAAUUUGUAUCCAGGCAUGAUUGUAUUGCCUACUGUGAUACGUUUGGGCAAUGCCACGGCCGUAACCAAAUUGGCACAGGGUUAAGGAGCUUAAACCUACUGUGGUGCUGCUACUUUAGCGAUUCUUUUGCAACAAAGUAAUGAAAAUGAUAAUAUGUGUUUUCAAGGGGAAAAAGCCGUAAUGCAGGAGGAAUAUUCUGAGGAGGAUGGUGGCUGAUACUCAUGGACCGCUGAGAGGUCCUAUGCACACUACAAAGCAACAUCUCACUCAAGACUAAUGGAGGAAAAUGUUGAAGAGACAGCUUUACUGCCACACUAAAUAUACGAGGAGCAGAUUAGCUGCACGGGAUUGAGUAUAGAACGGCAAGUUUGGAUCUGUACAGAAUUCCAGCAAAGGGAACUAAUUCAAAAAUUAUCAGGUUCUGGUGUUAUUAAUAAAGAUUCAUAGGAAUAGUGUGACAUGAGGAAAUAGGAAGGGUGGUUCUCUAAACGUGGUUAAAGUGAAAGAUAAAUGAAGG
rnacentral:lncRNA from 1 species